ACAACUGUAGCUCAGUUGGUUAGAGCACUCGUUUAGUAAGCGGGAGGUCUUGAGUUCGACUCUCAACAAGAGCA
rnacentral:tRNA from 1 species